GGAAUAUUGGUCAAUGGGCGGAAGCCUGAACCAGCCAUGCCGCGUGCAGGAUGACUGCCCUUUGGGUUGUUAAAUGCUUUUGUCCAGGAAUAAACCUUUCUACGUGUAGGAAGCUGAAUGUACUGGAAGAAUAAGGAUAGGCUAACUCCGUGCCAGCAGCCGCGGUAAUACGGAGGAUCCGAGCGUUAUCCGGAUUUAUUGGGUUUAAAGGGUGCGUAGGCGGCCUAUUAAGUCAGGGGUGAAAUACGGUGGCUCAACCAUCGCAGUGCCUUUGAUACUGAAGGGCUUGAAUCCAUUUGAAGUGGGAGGAAUAAGACAAGUAGCGGUGAAAUGCAUAGAUAUGUCUUAGAACUCCGAUUGCGAAGGCAGCUCACUAAGCUGGUAUUGACGCUGAUGCACGAAAGCGUGGGGAUCGA
rnacentral:rRNA from 1 species